GAGGGCGGCGCCCUGAGCCGGGCCCCACAGGGUGUUAGUCCCGUCUAGGGUUGCCUGGCCUGACCCAGUUUACCUGCCCCCGUGCGCUUGUGGAGGUCACAGGCACAGAGGGCAUCUUUCCAGGCCACUUCCGCUCAUCUGUGCAGCCUAGGGCCCGUGCUGGGAGUCCCACUGGGUCAAGCGCCUGCUUCUUGCUCCUCCAUAAUGCCCAUGGCCGCAGGGUCACCGGGUUUCCCCGCACACGGCCUCUCCUCCAAUCUCUGCCCCGGUGGAUUUUUGAGAUAUACAUGUCUGUGGUUUUUCCUUGCUCGUCCUUUUCCCCAACAUCGAUUCUGGUCGAACUGAAAAUCCCAGCAUGCGUGUUUACUGGAGGCCGCCCCUACUUCUGCACUGCUGCUGGCGGUGGCGAUGCCUUCAAAACUGGGUGGCUGGAGAGCAGCGGCUGUGGGCUGGGAUUGACUGCCUGGGAAAAGGUGCCAACCUAUUGCAUCAGAAAUGCUGGUCAUGUAGCAUUAGUGGAAAUUGCAGCUCAACGUUUCUGACUGGUUCCACUUGGUAUCUAAGGUUUGGUGCUGAAUAAGCUCUGCUGGUUUGGGUUAUUUUGGGUCUGUAUUAUUAUUAUCUGUAUUACCAUAGCAGCUCUAUAGAUGCAUUGUUAGUGCUUCCAAAGAAAUAUGAUAGGCACACCAUACACACUGAAAAAUAAAUGUGUACAUUUCUGUGAGGCUGGCUUGUGCUAUUCUGUGUACUUGAUAGCAUUCUGUAACAGCUGAGACUCCAAAUGCAAAGGAGAACUUCAAACUAAAUCACAGCAAGCCCAAUGUUAGAUUCUGAGAUUUUAUUUCUUGCUCUGGUGACAGCAGGGAGUCAUGAGAACAGGCUAGACACCUCUUCAACAGUGAGUUAAAGGGGGGGGAAGAGACAGCAGCAG